CCCCCAUUCCUUCUUAAAAUCACAGAGUUGUGAAAUGUCUCUCUCAAUCGAUUUCUGUUGCAGCGUAUCAGUUAUGGAACGAAUCGAAGAAAAUGUGGUAAUGUAAAGCACGAUCAUUGAUAGCUUAUAUUUACAUAAAGAUAAAAUUGUAACCUAGCAUGUCAUUUAUAUUCUGAAAUGUUUGUCAAUCGAAUUUCUCCUAAUGUUUGUCACAUACGGUACUUUAACCCAUGUCUUUCACAUGAUCGCUCAACCGACAGAAAUAAUUGAUUUGUCUGUUAAAUGAAAUGGCAGUGAAAAACAUCAACCAUGAAAAUUAUAUUCAAUUAAUGUUUGGGUUGAAUCAUGAAUUUAUAUGUAUGUUUCGCAUGGUUGAUGUGUUUCAAUUUCAUUUCAUUUAACAAACCAAUUGCUUCUUUCGGUUGAGCCAUCGUGUGAAAGUCAUGAAUUAGAGUAGUGUAAGUGAGAGCAUUUUGGACAAAUUGUUAUUUCAGAAUAUAAAUUAUAAGCCUUAGUUACAGGUUCAUCUUUAUUUAGGCUAUCAAUGAUUGUGCUUUGCAUCACUACAUUACAACUUGAAGUUUUGGACUCCAUCCUUUUCUUUUCAGGGUGGAAAAUUUGCUCGUUUUGAUGAUCAAAUAGGAACCUAGGGCCGAAAGAUCCUUCAUAAGAUGCAUGAUUUACCCAUGGUCCACUGAACCAGAGUUUGUGGCAAAAGGAGGAAAUUCUUUCUCUGGUGAAUUCCAUUUCAGAAAGGGAGAUGUAUCAAAACAUGAAGCACUUGGAAUUGUAGUUAUUGCUACAAGAGCUGCCUUAGUUAAAAACAUGCACCCUUUGAAAUCGUAGUUAUUGUCCACUUCAGCAUUUCAUGUGGAAGGAGCAUACCAAGGAAUUAACAUUGUCAUAUUUUGCAGUUACGCAUGCUGCUAUUCCCUUUUAAUGUACUUCAGAAUUCAGUAGUGAUGACUAAACCAGCAAUGAUAUUGACCAUUGCAUUUCCUCUGUAUUCAUCUGUUAUGUUGUUUAAGUUGUAAAUAUGAUAAGGAUUCUAUUAAUUUUUUCAUUGAAAUUAAGGACUGCCCUGCAUA